UCUAGUUGGAUGAUUCUUAGCUUUUAUUCCAUGAAAAUCUUGAAAGAAGUGUUACAAGUUUAGGAAGACGUAGCUGGACAAUAGGUUAUACCGUUGUCAUUGACAUUUGUAUAUAAUAAUUGACUAAAACACAUGCACAUAAUAUGCAGUUAUAUAAACAUCAUUAUGCUGAUCAAGAAUGGAGAAGCACUAAUAAGGUUAGAGAUGCAAAGACCAAGAAUUCAAAGGAUAUUCUGUUAGGAAGCAAUCGGAUAACUGUUAAUGAUAGUGGUGAGUGGUCUUUUGCUUUAAAACCUCCAUCUUAAGAUAAUAAUGUCUCUUUAAUGGAUUGGAUGACAUGGAUUUGAUGACUGUCAUUUCUAUUUUCGCCUUUGGUUGAGCUUUCUACGUCCUAGAAAGCAAGCAAUUUGGCUCGGCAGAACUUAUUGAUUCUAUGGUUAUAUGAAACAACAGAUAAAAGGAGUUUCUCUGUAUAAAUUGUCAAUGGGAAUGAUCAGGGGAGUGUGUCGAUGUGAUGUAACCAAGAUUUCUGGUUGAUGACUCGUCUAGCAGGUAUGAGCACCUAUGGACAAU
rnacentral:lncRNA from 1 species